rnacentral:rRNA from 1 species
AGUCAUGCUAUUGGGGUUCGGCUAAGCCAUGCGAGCGGAGGGCGCGGUCGAAAGAUCGUGGCCCCGCACACGGCUCAGUAACACGUAGUCAACCUACCCUUGGGACGGGGACAACCUCGGGAAACUGAGGCUAAUCCCCGAUAGGCGGGGGACGCUGGGAUGCCCCCUCGCCCAAAGCUCCGGCGCCCGAGGAUGGGACUGCGGCCUAUCAGGCUGUUGGUGGUGUAACGGACCACCAAACCUACGACGGGUACGGGCGAUGGGAGUCGGAGCCCGGAGAUGGGGACUGAGACAAGGCCCCAGGCCCUACGGGGCGCAGCAGGCGCGAAAACUCCGCAAUGCGCGCAAGCGUGACGGGGGGAUCCCAAGUGCCGUUGGUCUUUUGAUCGACGGUUUUUAGGAAGUCUAAGAAGCUUCCAGAAUAAGGGCUGGGCAAGACUGGUGCCAGCCGCCGCGGUAACACCAGCAGCCCAAGUGGUGGCCACGAUUAUUGGGCCUAAAGCGCUCGUAGCCGGAUCAAUAAGUCCCUUGUGAAAUCGGGCCGCCCAACGGUUCGGCGUGCAAGGGAUACUGUUGGUCUUGAGGCCGGGAGAGGUCGGAGGUACUCCUGGGGUAGCGGUGAAAUGCUCUAAUCCUAGGGGGACCACCAGUGGCGAAGGCGUCCGACCAGAACGGACCUGACGGUGAGGGGCGAAGGCUAGGGGAGCGAACGGGAUUAGAUACCCCGGUAGUCCUAGCUGUAAAGCAUGCGGGCCAGGUGUCUAGCGCUCCUUGAGGGCGCUAUGUGCCGGAGGGAAGCCGUUAAGCCCGCCGCCUGGGAAGUACGGUCGCAAGGCUGAAACUUAAAGAAAUUGGCGGGGGAGCACCACAAGAGGUGGGACCUGCGGUUCA